GACGAACGCUGGCGGCGUGCCUAAUACAUGCAAGUCGAACGAGAGCGACCGGUGCUUGCACUGGUCAAUCUAGUGGCGAACGGGUGAGUAACACGUGGGUAACCUGCUCAUCAGAGGGGGAUAACAUCCGGAAACGGAUGCUAAAACCGCAUAGGUCUUCGAGCCGCAUGGCUUGAAGAGGAAAAGAGGCGCAAGCUUCUGCUGAUGGAUGGACCCGCGGUGCAUUAGCUAGUUGGUGAGGUAACGGCUCACCAAGGCCGUGAUGCAUAGCCGACCUGAGAGGGUGAUCGGCCACAUUGGGACUGAGACACGGCCCAAACUCCUACGGGAGGCAGCAGUAGGGAAUCUUCCGCAAUGGACGCAAGUCUGACGGAGCAACGCCGCGUGAGUGAAGAAGGUUUUCGGAUCGUAAAACUCUGUUGUUAGAGAAGAACAAGUGCUGGAGUAACUGUUAGCGCCUUGACGGUAUCUAACCAGAAAGCCACGGCUAACUACGUG
rnacentral:rRNA from 1 species